CAGUUCGGAUCGGAGUCUGCAACCCGACUCCAUGAAGCUGGAUUCGCUAGUAAUCGCGCAUCAGCCACGGCGCGGUGAAUACGUUCCCGGGCCUUGUACACACCGCCCGUCAAGCCAUGGAAGGCCGGGAGUGCCUGAAGUGUGCAACCGCAAGGACGCGCCCUAAGGUAAAAACCGGUGACUGGGGCUAAGUCGUAACAAGGUACC
rnacentral:rRNA from 1 species